rnacentral:tRNA from 1 species
GGCACCGUAGCUUAGUUGGUUAAAGCGCCUGUUUUGUAAAUGGGAGAUCGCGAGUUCGAAUCUUGUCGGUUCCU